rnacentral:rRNA from 1 species
GAUGAACGCUGGCGGUAUGCUUAACACAUGCAAGUCGAACGGACUCUUCGGAGUUAGUGGCGGACGGGUGAGUAACGCGUGAGAAUCUGGCUUUGGGUUCGGGACAACCACUGGAAACGGUGGCUAAUACCGGAUGUGCCGAGAGGUAAAAGAGAAAUUGCCUGAAGAUGAGCUCGCGUCUGAUUAGCUAGUUGGUGAGGUAAAGGCUCACCAAGGCAGCGAUCAGUAGCUGGUCUGAGAGGAUGACCAGCCACACUGGGACUGAGACACGGCCCAGACUCCUACGGGAGGCAGCAGGGGGGAAUUUUCCGCAAUGGGCGAAAGCCUGACGGAGCAAUACCGCGUGAGGGAAGAAGGCUCUUGGGUCGUAAACCUCUUUUCUUAGGGAAGAACAAAAUGACGGUACCUAAGGAAUCAGCAUCGGCUAACUCCGUG